rfam:Enterobacter cloacae SCF1, complete genome.
CGUUGAUUGUUGAUUAAUGCUACACCAACACACCAGGCUUAUUCCUGCGGAGUUAACUAUGAGCGAUAAAAUUAUUCACCUGACUGAC